rnacentral:rRNA from 1 species
UACGUAGGGUGCAAGCGUUAAUCGGAAUUACUGGGCGUAAAGCGUGCGCAGGCGGUUCUGAAAGUCAGCUGUGAAAGCCCCGGGCUUAACCUGGGAAUUGCGGUUGAAACUACAGGGCUAGAAUCUGGCAGAGGGGGGUGGAAUUCCACGUGUAGCAGUGAAAUGCGUAGAGAUGUGGAGGAACACCGAUGGCGAAGGCAGGUCUCUGGGCCGAUACUGACGCUGAGGAGCGAAAGCGUGGGGAGCGAACAGG